UUUAUGGACCAGCAUGGGAUCUAUCUUGACAAGGCCCUGGGAAUGCAGCUGACAGGGGACCAGAGGAAAUGUGCAGAGCACCGAUUUUGGCCAUGGAGAGCACAGGGUCUCCUUCUCCAGGGCCGUGUGCUGGUCAAGAGGCCUGCCCAGGG